UCAAAAGAUUCAUGUUAUGUCAAUCAUUUCAUGACGUAUGAUUAAAAAAAAAGAAUCAUUUCAUGUGACCGUAAAAUAUUCAAUCAAAAAGUCAUUUACCAAACUUGCAACAAGUACUUCUUUUGCUUGAUUGGUUCCCUAGAAAGCAGUGAUGCUUUCAGUUGGUGUUUUUUCUUUCUUGGGUGUUUUUUGUAAAAAUUUUGCUCCAUCUCCUCCCUUCUCUCUCCUCCAUCCCCGCCCAAACCAUCUCUCCAAAAUCCAAACCCGACCUACCACCACUGACGCAUCCCGUCCCCACCACCACCGACAGAGCACCACAAACGCACGAUCACCGCCAACGGUCAUUCUCACUUGGUUUUGAUCCAUGAAUAGGAGCGCCUUCAACUUUGCUCGUAUGGAUCUGGAAUUUCGAAGCCCUAAUUUUGUUGCUUCUCUUUUCUUUGUCUACACUGUGUUGUACCACCGCCACCAUCGGACUCCACCAGUCAUCGAUCCCUCCUCUCCCACAGGUUUCACAAAGAUGAUGAGAGCUGAUGUUAGAGCACUCUCAGCCUCUCACUCAAGAAACCAGAAGAUCACACCAACAUCCAUUGGAGAUUACCCAUCUGGGUUUAGACCCAUUAGAGUUGCAGACCAAAGCUCUGGUUUAAUUGGAAGCACUGAAGAGCAAGAAACAGCAGAAAUCAAGGCAGAGCUUUAAGAGGCAAUGCAAGCCGAGCAGACAAACAAUGGGGUAGAAGACGCCUAGUAUGGUGGUGGAGGGUACAAUGGCUGCGGAUAUGGAGGAGGCCCAGGCGGAGGAGGAGGCCCGGGCGGAGGAGGAGGGGGAUGCCGUUAUAGAUGUUGCGAUCGUGGUUAUUACGGAAGGUGCAGGAGGUGCUGCUCCUACGAAGAGGCCGGGGAAAAAGGAAACUCUGAUCAGGAAAUUCUGAUCAGAGCCAAUGCCUCCGAUCCGGAAGCUUUAUCUAUGAUGAUUGUGCAAUGUUGCUUUUGAAGGAGUCAUGAAUAAAAGCAUGAGCGGAGGUGAUCCCAUCAAGCCUUUUUCACAAAAAAUCCACAUUGAUUGCACGUAUUGACCGCUUAGCUUACUGCACGCUUAUGUUACGCGGUGGGCCCCACCCUUUUAAAAAAAAAACAGGCUAAAAAUAAUUCCCAUAUUCAAAAUUCCAUUCAACUGGUGCGGGUUCUAGGAGAGAGAGAAGGGACGGCCAAGUAGACGUGCAGUAGGCUAAGCGGUCAAUAUAUGUGCUGUCAGUGUAGACUUUUUGGUACCAAGAUUGCUACUGGAAAGCAGUAAUGCUUUCAGGCGGUGCUCUUUCUUGGGUGUUUUUUUCCUCCUCGUUAUUAGAUAUUUAAUGAGAUUUGAAACCAGUUAAACGCAUGCAAGUUUAUGGUGUCUAGUACUAAGCUACCACCUAACUUACUUUUUGAGUCCUUUGCUUAUGGAGGACGUCGCGUCCAAUUUCCUGUAAUUUCUUUUCCCUAA